UAAUGGAAAACUGCUAUUUUUGUAUUUGUCCAGUAGGUUUCCUCAAGGAGAAAGCCCCC
ensembl:snRNA U7 U7 small nuclear RNA